CUCCCUAUCCUGGGUUAUCCUGGGGUGGCUAACCCUCCCUAUCCUGGGUUAUCCUGGGUGGCUAACCCUCCCUAUCCUGGGUUAUCCUGGGUGGCUAACCCUCCCUAUCCUGGGUGGCUAACCCUUCCUAUCCUGGGUUAUCCUGGGUGGCUAACCCUCCCUAUCCUGGGUUAUCCUGGGUGGCUAACCCUCCCUAUCCUGGGUUGCUAACCCUUCCUAUCCUGGGUUAUCCUGGGUGGCUAACCCUCCCUAUCCUGGGUUAUCCUGGGUGGCUAACCCUCCCUAUCCUGGGUUGCUAACCCUUCCUAUCCUGGGUUAUCCUGGGUGGCUAACCCUCCCUAUCCUGGGUGGCUAACCCUUCCUAUCCUGGGUUAUCCUGGGUGGCUAACCCUUCCUAUCCUUGGUUAUCAUGGAUGGCUAACACUCCCUAUCCUGGGUGGCUAACACUCCCUAUCCUGGGUGGCUAACACUCCCUAUCCUGGGUUAUCCUGGGUGGCUAACCCUUCCUAUCCUGGGUUAUCCUGGGUGGCUAACACUCCCUAUCCUGGGUUAUCCUGGGUGGCUAACCCCCUCUACCCUUGGUUAUCCUGGGUGGCAUUGGUAAACGAGUACAUCGCUAACGACCAACAAGAUUUACUGUUGAGGUGAGCCACUGCGAUCACUUGGUUCAUAAAGACAGUGGACAGUACGAUGCUGUCGAAUAUGAAGAACAUCCUGAGAGAUAGAUCUGUCUUUGCUCAAAAGGUGGUGCCAUAUGCUACGUUGAUCAUCAGUGGUAUAUAUGGGGCAGCGAAUUCACCCAAACUUCUAACUAUCCCUGAUGAAGGGUCCUCCUGCA